GGUUAUAGCUCAGCGGUAGAGCGCUUGCCUAGCACAUGCGAGGCCCUGGGUUCGAUCCUCAGCACCA
rnacentral:tRNA from 1 species